rnacentral:rRNA from 1 species
GAUGAACGCUGGCGGCGUGCUUAACACAUGCAAGUCGGACGAUGAAGCCCAGCUUGCUGGGUGGAUUAGUGGCGAACGGGUGAGUAACACGUGAGUAACCUGCCCUUGACUCUGGGAUAAGCCUGGGAAACUGGGUCUAAUACUGGAUAUGACUUCUCAUCGCAUGGUGGGGGGUGGAAAGAUUUAUUGGUCUUGGAUGGACUCGCGGCCUAUCAGCUUGUUGGUGAGGUAAUGGCUCACCAAGGCGACGACGGGUAGCCGGCCUGAGAGGGUGACCGGCCACACUGGGACUGAGACACGGCCCAGACUCCUACGGGAGGCAGCAGUGGGGAAUAUUGCACAAUGGGCGCAAGCCUGAUGCAGCGACGCCGCGUGAGGGAUGACGGCCUUCGGGUUGUAAACCUCUUUCAGUAGGGAAGAAGCGAGAGUGACGGUACCUGCAGAAGAAGCGCCGGCUAACUACGUG